UUUCCAUGUCUAAAUAAAUAAUUAUUAGUGAUUUUCUCCUAUAUAGAAUGGCAUGUUUUUAAAAUAAUCCGAUUUCUUAUGUGCCGUUUGGCUGCAUUCGGCUUCAGCCAAGCGCUUGCACUCGAUGACACGGAAUGUUGUUUACAUCUAAAAACGUGGCGACAUCAGCUGAGAUAUGCAGUGGAUUUAUAUGCAAUAAUCAGACAUUCUUUAAAGAAUUAGGGAUAAGAUAAGAGACAAGGCAUUGUUUAUCCCCAUUACGAAAAUAUGAGGACAUUAUUACAGAAAAUAAUGGAAGAGUGCGACGAUCUGCACCAGCUCCCUAGAUCCAUCACUGCAGUGCAUUCAGCCCAGUAGUCAAGGGAUCCAGGCUUGAAGUAUAAAUAAAUACAAAAUGCAUCCAUUUCUCCACAGGAUAUUCCUAAAGAAUUAAACCAAUGGAAUCAUUCAUGAUCAGGCAGCAAGUUAAUCCAAGAUGUAAGGAAAAUGAAUUGAUUUCAUCCACAAGAACAUGAAGUGAUGGAAAAAAAUUGCAGCCCCCCAGUAUUCCUUGUACAGUCUAUCUUAAUUUAA